AUUGAACGCUGGCGGCAUGCUUUACACAUGCAAGUCGGACGAGUGGCGGACGGGUGAGUAAUAUAUUGGAACCUACCUAGUAAUGGGGGAUAACCAAUCGAAAGAUUGGCUAAUACCGCAUAUUAUUGGAUCAGCCCAUAUCGGAUUAGCUAGUUGGUGGGGUAAAGGCCUACCAAGCCGACGAUCAGUAGCGGGUCUGAGAGGAUGAUCAGCCAAACUGGGACUGAGACACGGCCCAGACUCCUACGGGAGGCAGCAGUGGGGAAUUUUGGACAAUGGGCGCAAGCCUGACCCAGCCAUGCCACGUGUAUGAAGAAGGCCUUCGGGUUGUAAAGGACUUUUGUUAGGGAAGCGGUAACUAAAGAAGAAGCACCGGCUAACUACGUGCCAGCAGCCGCGGUAAUAC
rnacentral:rRNA from 1 species